UACAGAGGCCUCGAGCGUUAAUCGGAAUUACUGGGCGUAAAGCGUGCGCAGGCGGUUUGUUAAGUCUGCUGUGAAAUCCCCGAGCUCAACUUGGGAAUUGCAGUGGAUACUGGCAAGCUGGAGUACGGUAGAGGAAGGUGGAAUUCCCGGUGUAGCAGUGAAAUGCGUAGAGAUCGGGAGGAACACCAGUGGCGAAGGCGGCCUUCUGGACCAGUACUGACGCUCAUGCACGAAAGCGUGGGGAGCAAACAGG
rnacentral:rRNA from 1 species